UACAGGCGGCCUGGAGGGUUUACGCCACAAACCUGAGCCGAACUGAUCUAACUUCAACCUGGGAUUAUUACGAGAGGACCGUCUCUGUCCCCAUGUACAGGCUGAUUCCGCCUCUCAAUCAGUUGGACUUAUUGAGGAACCUCAAGAACAAAUCAGGACUCUCAUUCAGGAAGGAGGUCCAGCCUGAACCAUCUCCCAGUCAGAAGGUCAGUCUAAAGGAGAGGGUCUUCUCGUCUCCUCGGAGCUCAGGAACCAAAGGAAAAGGUUCUCCUCAGCAUG